rnacentral:lncRNA from 1 species
GGAAUAUUAAUUACUUUUUAAUUUCUACUUUGCUUUAUCUGUAAUAUAUAACCUCCAAGUUUACCCAAGGGAAAUGCGAGAACAAAACUGAAUAUCCCACCAUCUUUUAAGAAGGUCCUUUUAAAAUGCAAUGAAAAUAUGUUACACCUUUAAAACUCUAGCAUCAAAAAUUACAAGUGCUCAGUGCCCUUAGGAGGACUAUAUGUAAAAGAAACCUAAAAUCUAGUGAAUUUAAUGAAAUAACAUACUUCCUAUGUAUACAAUGUAUGGGAGGGGGACAGGGGCUCUAAUGGGUUUUCUCUGAAGUAAACCAUGAAAGCUACCUGCUGGUAUCCCCAGUGCCUUGAACUCUUUAGAGAAUAGCAUUUAAAAACAACAUAAACCACACAUAAACUUUUGAGGUGCUAAUGAAAGAGAAGGAAGGUAAGUAUUUUUGAAGUUUGGGCAGAAAUGGGGAGGGGGUGACUCUUAGAAGAGGUUUUUCACCCACCUACAUGAGUAUUCCACUAAAAGAUGAAAAAGUGGUUUAGAAAAGUGGCUCAAGUCAACACUAGUCACACUUAAUAUCUGGCCAAAUUGGGAACAUGUUGUUCAUGAGCUGUGAAUUUCAAGCAAGGGAUUAAGAAUCAACUUCCUUUUAAAUAAAAAAAAUAAUAAUAAUAAUAAUCAACUUCUUAGGAAGACGUGGUUGCAGCAGGAGAUACAAGGGAUACAUUUUUUUUAAAAAACUAGCCAUUAAAUUUGUUACAAGUUAAUACCAAAAUCUGCAGUUUUUCCUAAUUCCACCUCCUAGUUCUUCCUGUAUUUGUAAAUAGUCCCUCCUAGAAAAUAAGCAUUAACUGGAAUGUGUUAAAUGACUGCUUAGUUUUACUGUCAGCCACUAGUGAACUCUUCUUCCUGAGAUGCAUAGGUAAAAUAAAUGAUUAGCGUGUGCUAAGUGUUGUAAAAAUACUGUUUACUGUUUUCAAAGAGAAUUGCACAGUAUCUUUAACUGGGGUUGUCCUCUUCUGUUUCUUUUAAAGAAAAAUGGAGUCAAGGCUCACUCUGACUUCUAGCUGUGAGAAUUUUGUCAUAAAUAGAUAUAAUGUAGAAAUAUACUUUUUUAAAGCAUGUACCUGAAAGAGGACAUUAUUCAGAGGAUUAUGCACAGCUUGAUAAGGAUGAAGUUGUGGUUUUCUUUCAGCCUUGUUGCUAUUAUUUUCUUCUGCAUAAAUGUACUCAUUUCAUUAUGUGCCUUGCUCCCUGAUUGUGCAAAGCUAUAUAUAUACAUACAAAUAUAUAUAUAUAUAUAUAUAUAUAUGAGAGAGAUAUAUUCACUCAGUACUACUGAUGUUUUUGUUCUACUGCUGGAUUAAGUUAUUGUCUGAGUUACACUUGCCACGUGUCAUAAACUAUUGUAAUGGCUUAGGACAGUGGUCAUAUAAACAGAGUAAAUUUGUUUUUCCAGUUACAUUAUUUUGUCAUCUAUCCCAAUACUUAAUAAAAAAAUUUACAUAAAUUCCAUUUAAACACAAAGAUUUCAAGUGUUUUGGAUGAGCACUAUUAAGAGCCUGGUUUUGAAGGGUGGGAGAGAUGACUCAGCUGUUAAGAAUGCUUUCUGCUCUUCCAGAGGACCAGAGUUCAGUUCCCAGCACCCUCGUCGGGCAACUCAAAACCACCUGUAACUCCAGCUCCAAAGGAUCCAAUGCCCUCUUCUGGCCUCCAAAGGCACCUGACCAUGUGUGGCAUACAUACACUUAAAUAAAAGUAAAUUUUUAAAGAA